GUGGAGGACCGAACCCACCAGGGUUGAAAACCUGGGGGAUGAACUGUGGGUAGGGGUGAAAGGCCAAUCAAACUCCGUGAUAGCUGGUUCUCCCCGAAAUGCAUUUAGGUGCAGCGUUGCGUGUUGCUUGCCGGAGGUAGAGCUACUGGUUGGUUGAGCGGGACUACAAUCUUAGCAAUGUCAGCCAAACUCCGAAUGCCGGUUUAAGUUAGCGCAGCAGUGAGACUGUGGGGGAUAAGCUUCAUAGUCGAGAGGGAAACAGCCCAGAUCGCCGGCUAAGGCCCCUAAGCGUGUACUAAGUGGAAAAGGAUGUGGGAUCGCGAUGACAGCCAGGAGGUUGGCUUAGAAGCAGCCAUCCUUGAAAGAGUGCGUAAUAGCUCACUGGUCAAGUGAUUCCGCGCCGAUAAUGUAGCGGGGCUUAAGUUAUCCGCCGAAGCUGUGGCAACCUGUGUGGUUGGGUAGGGGAGCGUCGUGUCAGUGGUGAAGCUGCCGGGUGACUGUGUGGUGGAGUUGAUGCGAGUGAGAAUGCAGGCAUGAGUAGCGAAAGACGGGUGAGAAACCCGUCCUCCGAAAGACCAAGGGUUCCAGGGCCAGGUUAAUCCGCCCUGGGUAAGUCGGGACCUAAGGCGAGGCCGACAGGCGUAGUCGAUGG
rnacentral:rRNA from 1 species